UCCGCCUUAGCUCAGUUGGUAGAGCAGUUGACUGUUAAUCAACCUGUCGCUGGUUCGAGCCCAGCAGGCGGAGCCA
rnacentral:tRNA from 3 species